CAGAUUUUUUAGGCAAUAUAUUUGCAUCAUACUAAAAUGGAAUUUUUCUCCUCUAUAAGCUUGAUGGUAAUAAACACCUCACUGAGAAGCAGAAGGAUGACAUUAACAAUUUGGCCAUUUCCUGGGACUUGCCACCCGUCAGUGCAGAAAACCGCAGAUGGCUGUUCCAACAGCUUCUCCAUCAUGCAGUGAUAGGCCGAACUAAAAGGCAGACAAAACACAUCAGAAAAGGUCUGAAGGACACCGGAUUGUUGACUAUGCUUCAACAAAGACCUGACACAGCCUCAGUGGUCUUUCCCCAGCAUGAAGACAGCAUUCUUACUGCACAGGCUGUUCUUAGCCACAUUGCCAGGAGAUGAGGGCGAUGAUGAAGACGAUGAUGAUCCACUUUACCCACUAAGCAUCCAAAUGCAAACAGUGGGAUUUCUGAAGACCUACAUUGAAACAGCCACUCCAUUCCAGCUCAGCCAGCUGAUGAGGUUUUGGGUCGGGUGGGAAAUUCCGACUGGUACCAUGAAGGUUGAAGUAGUAAAAGCAGACUACCUCAUAUCCUCUACAUGUUUUGGAACGUUGCGUGUGCCUGGGCACUUCCACGAAUACAAUGUAUUUUCCAAACAUGUUGAUGAUUGCAUUGCAACUUGUGCCACAGGUUUUGGCCUUAUUUAAAAGCAAUUUGUAGACACUGGAUGUCGAAUAAACUUUACCAUGCUUGAAAAAUGUUUUACAUAGCCAAAAGUUUCACUGUUACUUAGGCUUAUUGAUUUUUUGGGAAUAUUGUUAUGCGAGUUUAAAUAUAAAAAUUAAAGUUACAGUUCCCACCAUUAACAUUUAUAUUUGAAGUUAAGGAACUAAUGAUUGUGUUAUUUAGGGUUGUUUUGUUAACUUAAAGUCAUUGUCAUGCAUCCGAUUCACAUCAUCUCUUUGAAGCAGUUUCAUGGAUUACAAGAGGUGAAAAAAGUAGAUUAAUACUAAAGCUGUAUUAAAUGUUACAC